GAUUCCUUGGUACCAGUCUUCCAAUCUGUUGAUGCUGUUUGUCAGAGAGGGUUGGGGCUGUCCUUCGUUCAUGAGUUCCCAGUUUUCAGAUGGAGGGGGUUGUACAGUCUUUCUCUAUAGUUUGAAGGUGGAGGUUGUUGUUCAGUCUUUCUCUAUAGUUUGAAGGUGGAGGGGGUUGUUCAGUCUUUCUCUAUGGUUUGAAGGUGGAGGGGGUUGUUCAGUCUUUCUCUAUAGUUUUCAGGUGGAGGGGGUUGUUCAGUCUUUCUCUAUAGUUUGAAGAUGGAGGGGGUUGUUCAGUCUUUCUCUAUAGUUUGAAGGUGGAGGGGGUUGUUCAGUCUUUCUCUAUAGUUUUCAGGUGGAGGGGGUUGUUCAGUCUUUCUCUAUAGUUUUCAGAUGGAGGGGGUUGUUCAGUCUUUCUCUAUAGUUUUCAGGUGGAGGGGGUUGUUCAGUCUUUCUCUAUAGUUUUCAGGUGGAGGGGGUUGUUCAGUCUUUCUCUAUAGUUUUCAGAUGGAGGGGGUUGUUCAGUCUUUCUCUAUAGUUUGAAGGUGGAGGUUGUUGUUCAGUCUUUCUCUAUAGUUUGAAGGUGGAGGGGGUUGUUCAGUCUUUCUCUAUAGUUUUCAGGUGGAGGGGGUUGUUCAGUCUUUCUCUAUAGUUUUCAGGUGGAGGGGGUUGUUCAGUCUUUCUCUAUAGUUUUCAGGUGGAGGGGGUUGUUCAGUCUUUCUCUAUAGUUUUCAGAUGGAGGGGGUUGUUCAGUCUUUCUCUAUAGUUUUCAGAUGGAGGGGGUUGUUCAGUCUUUCUCUAUAGUUUUCAGAUGGAGGGGGUUGUUCAGUCUUUCUCUAUAGUUUUCAGAUGGAGGGGGUUGUUCAGUCUUUCUCUAUAGUUUUCAGAUGGAGGGGGUUGUUCAGUCUUUCUCUAUAGUUUUCAGAUGGAGGGGGUUGUUCAGUCUUUCUCUA